AACUUUAAACUUCUUACUUGACACAAACUGUAUAAUAUAUAAGACGAGAAAGUCUGAGGAAACUGAUGACAUCACAAAUGAAAAUGACGUCAAAAGCUUUAGGUACACAAAUCAAAUGUAAGCAAGAGAGGUCACAUUCGUAAUGAACCGAUGUUUCUAGUGGGAAGUGAAUGAACUACAAAGAAAUGAGUUUAGAGCAUGUUUAAUUGUUAACAAGAACAAAUUGCUUAAACGAUUUCAACAAAACUAAACACUGGUGGAGCUAAAUGUUUUGUAAAAUCUCAACGAGACGACAGUCGAGGAAACGAUGAUGUCACAAAACUAGCGUCAUGACGUCACCAAACUAGCGUCAUGGCGUCACAAAACUAGCGUCAUGGCGUCACCAAACUAGCGUCAUGACGUCAGUGGGGAAACAUAGCUUCUAUCUUUCCCUAGGGGAGAUAGAAAAUAUAUUCACCUGCAUCUCACUGCCCAUAUGGGUAAUAAAUAUGAAUGUGAUCUAAUGUGUCCUGUAAUCUUUAAAAUAGUGUUAUUUUCUCAUUCUCAUUAUUGAUUAUUAUAUAUAUAAAUAUGAAUAUGAGAACACAAACCAUGUAAUCUUUUAAAUAGUGCAGACUCCUAUUCUCAUUAUUGACUAUACACCGGUAUAUAUAAAUAUGAAUAUGAGAACACAAACCAUGUAAUCUUUUAAAUAGUGCAGACUCCUAUUCUCAUUAUUGACUAUACACCGGUAUAUAUAAAUAUGAAUAUGAGAACACAAACCAUGUAAUCUUUUAAAUAGUGCAGACUCCUAUUCUCAUUAUUGACUAUACACCGGUAUAUAUAAAUAUGAAUAUGAGAACACAAACCAUGUAAUCUUUUAAAUAGUGCAGACUCCUAUUCUCAUUAUUGACUAUACACCGGUAUAUAUAAAUAUGAAUAUGAGAACACAAACCUUGUAAUCUUUUAAAUAGUCCAGACUCCUAUUCUCAUUAUUGACUAUAUACCAGUAUAUAAAUAUGAGAACAUGUAUCCUGUAAUCUUUUAAGUAGUCCAGACUCCUAUUCUCAUUAUUGACUAUAUACAGUAUAUAAAUAUGAGAACAUGUAUCCUGUAAUCUUUUAAAUAGUGUUAGUCUCAUUAUUGACUAUACCGGUAUAUAUAGAUAUGAAUAUGAGAACACAAACCUUGGUAUUAUGUAAUCUUUUAAAUAGUCCUGUUCUCAUUAUUGAUUAUACCAGUAACAUAAAAUUGUUGAUUAUGAGAUCCAUAACAAUCAGGAAUGACGUUAGCUGUAAUUAUUCCUAUACUCAAGAUGUGCAGUGAACAUGACAGAUAGUAGGUGAACAUGACAGAUAGUAGGUGAACACGACAGCUAGUAGGUGAACACAGCAGUAGGUGGACACGACAGCUAGUAGGUGAACACAACAGUAGGUGAACAGGACAGCUAGUAGGUGAACAGGACAGCUAGUAGGUGAACAGGACAGCUAGUAGGUGAACACGACAGCUAGUAGGUGAACACGACAGCUAGUAGGUGAACACGACAGCUAGUAGGUGAACACGACAGCUAGUAGGUGAACACGACAGCUAGUAGGUGAACAGGACAGCUAGUAGGUGAACAGGACAGCUAGUAGGUGAACAUGACAGCUAGUAGGUGAACACGACAGCUAGUAGGUGAACACGACAGCUAGUAGGUGAACAGGACAGCUAGUAGGUGAACAGGAUAGUAGGUGAACACGACAGCUAGUAGGUGAACAGGACAGCUAGUAGGUGAACACGACAGCUAGUAGGUGAACACGACAGCUAGUAGGUGAACAGGACAGCUAGUAGGUGAACAGGACAGCUAGUAGGUGAACAGGAUAGUAGGUGAACAGGACAGCUAGUAGGUGAACACGACAGCUAGUAGGUGAACACGACAGCUAGUAGGUGAACAGGACAGCUAGUAGGUGAACACGACAGCUAGUAGGUGAACAGGACAGCUAGUAGGUGAACACGACAGCUAGUAGGUGAACACGACAGCUAGUAGGUGAACAGGACAGCUAGUAGGUGAACAGGAUAGUAGGUGAACACGACAGCUAGUAGGUGAACAGGACAGCUAGUAGGUGAACACGACAGCUAGUAGGUGAACACGACAGCUAGUAGGUGAACAUGACAGCUAGUAGGUGAACACGACAGCUAGUAGGUGAACAGGACAGUAGGUGAACAGGACAGCUAGUAGGUGAACACGACAGCUAGUAGGUGAACACGACAGCUAGUAGGUGAACAGGACAGCUAGUAGGUGAACAUGAAUAUGAGAACACAAACCUUGUAAUCUUUUAAAUAGUCCAGACCCUUAUUCUCAUUAUUGACUAUAUACCAGUACAUAAAUAUGAGAACAUGUAUCCUGUAAUCUUUUAAAUAGUCGGACUCCUAUUCUCAUUAUUGACUAUAUACAGUAUAUAAAUAUGAGAACAUGUAUCCUGUAAUCUUUUAAAUAGUGUUAGUCUCAUUAUUGACUAUACCAGUAUAUAUAGAUAUGAAUAUGAGAACACAAACCUUGGUAUUAUGUAAUCUUUUAAAUAGUGUUAGUCUCAUUAUUGACUAUACCGGUAUAUAUAGAUAUGAAUAUGAGAACACAAACCUUGGUAUUAUGUAAUCUUUUAAAUAGUCCUGUUCUCAUUAUUGAUUAUACCAGUAACAUAAAAUUGUUGAUUAUGAGAUCCAUAACAAUCAGGAAUGACGUUAGCUGUAAUUAUUCCUAUACGCUAGAUGUGCAGUGAACAUGACAGCUAGUAGGUGAACAUGACAGCUAGUAGGUGAACACGACAGCUAGUAGGUGAACAGGACAGCUAGUAGGUGAACAGGACAGUAGGUGAACAGGACAGCUAGUAGGUGAACAUGACAGCUAGUAGGUGAACACGACAGCUAGUAGGUGAACACGACAGCUAGUAGGUGAACAGGACAGCUAGUAGGUGAACAGGACAGUAGGUGAACAUGACAGCUAGUAGGUGAACACGACAGCUAGUAGGUGAACAGGACAGUAGGUGAACAGGACAGCUAGUAGGUGAACAUGACAGUAGGUGAACACGACAGCUAGUAGGUGAACACGACAGCUAGUAGGUGAACAGGACAGCUAGUAGGUGAACACGACAGCUAGUAGGUGAACACGACAGCUAGUAGGUGAACAGGACAGCUAGUAGGUGAACACAACAGUAGGUGAACAGGACAGCUAGUAGGUGAACACGACAGCUAGUAGGUGAACACGACAGCUAGUAGGUGAACACAACAGUAGGUGAUCAGGACAGCUAGUAGGUGAACAGGACAGCUAGUAGGUGAACACGACAGCUAGUAGGUGAACAGGACAGCUAGUAGGUGAACAGGACAGCUAGUAGGUGAACAGGACAGCUAGUAGGUGAACAUGACAGUAAGGGCACAGUUCUGAUCGUUCAAAUCCUUCCUAAGUUUGUAUUUCAUGCGUUCAAACUGAUAGUUGGUCAGUUAGUUCAAACCGAUGAUGAGUAAUGAAAUUGCAAUUGAUUCCCGACACAACGUUCGAAGGUCCACAUUUUUUUAAACCGACACCUGACGGCAAACUGCCGAGUGCCUGCCUGACAUCUCAUAAUUAAUAUACUUCUUGUGACUGAUAUUCAGUUUUUGUGAUUUCUUGUUUAUUUUGCAAUGUUAUCACACCAACUACAUGUUUUAUAUGUAUUAUUAGCAAUUCCAAAUGUUUUAUAUCGUUUGGUUUUAGUGCAAUUUGUCCCAGUUAUACAUCUGUUAUGUAAAAACUUAGUUGUUAAUAAUAUUUUGUUUGUCCACAUGGUUAACAUAUACAUGUAUGUGAUGACAUUUCUGUAAGAAAGUAUCCAUUGUGUUAUUUUCCCCUUCCAGAACAUAAUAAAAUUUAGACAUUUUAGUUCAACUUCAUUAGCAGUACAUACAUGUAUAUUUGAUUCAAUUUAGCAGAUAUAUUAAAUAUUUUACUAAAGUAAAGUUGAACAAGAGUACCAGUGAGGUACAUGAUACUCCCAUUAAAAGUAGGUCAUGGUGACCUAGUUAUUGUAUGUGACACACCACCAUUGCAAGUUGUAUUUGCAUGCAAAGUCUGAUGAAGAUCUUAUAUGAAUUGAUAAGAAAGAUAUGCUCCAGAAACAAAAACGUUUGUGGAUGGUGAGUGCCAUACCAUAAUAUGAUCUAUCAAAGUGAGGUGUAUAAAAAUGCAUUUAUUUAAAUAUGUAAUAAAAGAUAAAAAGAUAUGGGAGCUUAUAGAUUCAGAUUAGGAAUUUUGUGUUAAAUUUGGGAAUGGUGCCAACUACACAAUCAUCAAUUGCAACAUAAUUGAUAAGACCCUCCAAGAAACUUUAGUUUUAACCAGAAAUACUACAUAUUUAUGUUGUUGAAGACCAUGUACCUUUAAUUUAUGUGUUGUGCAAUAUAGGUUAUUUGUAUAAGGGCAGAAAUUAUCACUUUGAGAAAUGGGGUGAUGGUCUAGCAAUAAUGUAUGUGUGUGUGUGUGUGUGUGUGUGUGUGUGUGUGUGUGUGCGUGCGCGCAUGCGUGCACACAUGCAGGGGAGGUCUAGGCUGGUGUUAGCAAAGUUUUCAUGGGGUGGGAGAUCGAGAUAUGCUCCCCAGGAAAAUAGUUUUCAGAAAGAAAAAUUGAUAUGAGCAAGUGGACUUUUAGGGGAACUGUUAAGCCAGAUAUUAGGGUUAACAACCCCACAUUCCAAUCCACGACAGCUGUGACCAUUUCUCUUAUAGCCUUUAUUUCCUUUAGUCAUCAUGUCUAUUAUUAUUUUAGUGUUUCAUUAACCACUCUUGGUUUUUCCAUAGUUCCACACACACACACACACAGAGAGAGAGAGAGAGAGAGAGAGAGAGAGAGAGAGAGAGAGAGAGAGAGAGAGAGAGAGAGAGCAUUUGGGGGGGGGGGGGGGGGGGUAACGUGGGGGCAGAAGAGAUUAAGAAUGUCAUAUUCUUGAGAAUAAAUAAUUUUUGAUGAUGUACUUUUAGAAAUCUGUUUGUGUGUUCAUGUUUUCUAGUCUUCUGUUUAAAUGAUUUCUGUUGUAUCAAGUUUUAUUAAUCUUAUUAAUAUAAUUAUAUUGCCAAUUUAAGUUGUUGAAAAGUUUUGUUAGUAAAAUUGCAUUACAUA